rnacentral:rRNA from 1 species
UACGUAGGGUGCAAGCGUUAAUCGGAAUUACUGGGCGUAAAGCGUGCGCAGGCGGUUGUGCGAGGCCGAUGUGAAAUCCCCGGGCUUAACCUGGGAAUGGCAUUGGUGACUGCACGGCUAGAGUGUGUCAGAGGGGGGUAGAAUUCCACGUGUAGCAGUGAAAUGCGUAGAGAUGUGGAGGAAUACCGAUGGCGAAGGCAGCCCCCUGGGAUAACACUGACGCUCAUGCACGAAAGCGUGGGGAGCAAACAGG